GUUUUUGGACUUUAUUGCAUCAAAAUUAAUUGUUGAUGAGUAUAAUUGGAUAUUUAAAAAGUUGCUAAUUGACUUUUCAUACAAUUUGAGGGUCCAUUUGACCCAUUUUCUCAAUUUGAUUCAUCAGUUAAAGGCGGAAACCCUAGCUGGAGAAAGCUGCCUGUGCUAUAUAUACCACAUACAUUCUGCAAGUCUGCCGCAGAACAACCUACACCCUCCGCUUCCGACUCAACUCUUCGCUCUCAUAGGCAUAGCUACCCGAUCUCUGUGUACUUAUUCGACGCACACACAACAUAACGCCAUUUCAUAGUUCUCUAUAAAAAAGUAAACACAAAUGAGGCAACUUUGCCGAGGUGAUUGAUUUUGUGUUGAUUCCCUCUUUUCCCUGUUGCCUAUAUUCUCUGUGGUCAAGCUUGGAGCUACAAAAGUUGUUGAACUGUAUAAGUGUUGACACCAUCCAUCUCUAGCGUGACUAUAUUGUAUUAUCACUUUUCAUUCGAAAAGAAUUUUUUUUAUUCUUUUUGUUUGUAUCAGGGUGUUAAGCUUUUUAUUGUUGAAGUAUGAUUCUCUAUGUGAUGAUGAUAUGUAUGGCUAUGGAUUUGUAUCCAAUGAAGCUUUCUUUUUGUCAUAGUUACACUGAUAGGGAAUCAUAUUCAUAGUACCAUUUGCCCUGUUUCUUUUUCUUUCAGCCCAAAAUGUGGUCCAAUUCCACUUCUGUGUUCAAACUUUGAUAGAAACAAUGAUGUUUUUGUAAGCAAGUCAGCUUCUUUGUUCAGAUUCUGAGAUAUCCCGAUCUGGACAAUUGUUUUACUCAAAACUUGCAAUAUGAAAUCCAGUGUCACUCACCUGAAUCUGAAUAUUUGCCCUGAUGUUUCAGGCCCUUUGUUACUGGUACAUUCUUCAUAGACAUGUAGCAAAAUGUUAGUUCUUUGAUUGGAUUGGACAUGGUUGAUACAAAAGAUGGGAAUAGAGUUGCAGUUUGAGAAAGCAAACACACUCUGUCCCUAGACAAAUGAUAAAUGUCUUGAGGCAAUUUCUUGGUUUGCAACAUUAAUGGAGUUUUCACUUCAGCUUUCCAAUUUACUCGCCCACAAGAUCUAUCAUUUUCUUUGAUCUUGUUGGGCACAUGGUUGGAUUACAUCCCCACUGUUUUUAUGAUAUUUUUCUUCCUCCUUCCUUUCCUAUUAAGCAAAUAGCCUAUAAUAGGAGAAACAACGACAAGGUAAAUCGAAGCAAAACAAAUUUAACAAUAUAUUUUGAAUUAAUUGAUCAGUUGUAUCUAUAUGUGGUGGUGAAAGCUUUGUUAGAUGCUAUGGAGGUUUGAUCAUUUUCUAUGGGCAUUGAGUUGGAAUCAAUAUUGGUGUAGUUAUUCUGGCUUUCAACCUGGUAUGAAGAUGUCUUAGACCAUAUGGACGCUCUGAUAAUGUCAUUUAUUGUUUUCAUCAUCAGCUUUGAAUCGAGUUCUUAUUUCUUUUUUGUACAUAUAAUACAAGAUUUAAAUGUAGUACUUGUACAAGAUUGUAACAUAUCCGUGUAAAUCCUAUACUUAUUUGGUAUUUUUAUUAUCUGAUUUUGGUAUUAUCUCCAUGCAAUAUUAAUACAAGUUCUACAACAAUAUUUGAUCA